rnacentral:rRNA from 1 species
AGAGUUUGAUCAUGGCUCAGAUUGAACGCUGGCGGCGUNNCUAACACAUGCAAGUCGAGCGGCAGCGCGGGAGCAAUCCUGGCGGCGAGCGGCGGACGGGUGAGCAAUAUUUGGGAUCUGCCUAUUAGUGGGGGACAACCCGGGGAAACUCGGGCUAAUACCGCAUACGCACUACGGUGGAAAGCCGGGGACCGCAAGCCUGGCGCUAAUAGAUGAGCCCUCGGAUUAGCUAGUUGGUGAGGUAAUGGCUCACCAAGGCUACGAUCGUAGCUGGUCUGAGAGGACGCCAGCCACACCGGAACUGAGACACGGUCCGGACUCCUACGGGAGGCAGCAGUGGGGAAUAUUGGACAAUGGGCGAAAGCCUGAUCCAGCGACGCCGCGUGGGUGAAGAAGGCCUGCGGGUUGUAAAGCCCUUUCGGUGGGGAAGAAAAGCCUCGACUUAAUACGUUGGGGUCUUGACGUAACCCAAGAAAGAAGCACCGGCUAACUCUGUGCCAGCAGCCGCGGUAAUACAGAGGGUGCGAGCGUUAAUCGGAAUUACUGGGCGUAAAGCGCGCGUAGGCGGCUUUGCAAGUCGAGUGUGAAAUCCCCAGGCUUAACCUGGGAACUGCUCUCGAGACUGCAUAGCUAGAGUAUGGGAGAGGGAAGUGGAAUUUCAGGUAGCGGUGAAAUGCGUAGAUUCGAAGGAACAUCAGUGGCGAAAGCGACUUCCUGGACCAAUACUGACGCUCAUGUGCGAAAGCGUGGGGAGCAAACAGGAUUAGAUACCCUAGUAGUCC